rnacentral:rRNA from 1 species
UCUGGCCCCUCCGGGUCCGAGUUGUAAUUUGUAGAGGAUGCUUUUGGUGAGGUGCCGCCCGAGUUCCCUGGAACGGGACGCCACAGAGGGUGAGAGCCCCGUCUGGCUGGCCACCGAGCCUCUGUAAAGCUCCUUCGACGAGUCGAGUAGUUUGGGAAUGCUGCUCAAAAUGGGAGGUAUAUGUCUUCUAAAGCUAAAUAUUGGCCAGAGACCGAUAGCGCACAAGUAGAGUGAUCGANAGAUGAAAAGCACCUUGAAAAGAGGGUUAAACAGUACGUGAAAUUGUUGAAAGGGAAGCGCUUGUGACCAGACUUGGGCGCGGCGGAUCAUCCGGGGUUCUCUCCGGUGCACUUCGCCGCGUUCAGGCCAGCAUCAGUUCGUCGCGGGGGAAAAAGGCUUCGGGAACGUGGCUCCUCCGGGAGUGUUAUAGCCCGUUGCAUAAUACCCUGCGGUGGACUGAGGACCGCGCAUCUGCAAGGAUGCUGGCGUAAUGGUCACCAGCGACCCGUCUUGAAACACGGACCAAGGAGUCGUCUUCGUAUGCGAGUGUUCGGGUGUCAAACCCCUACGCGUAAUGAAAGUGAACGCAGGUGAGAGCUU